UCAUUGACCUCAAUUUUCUUUCCACUCCCAUCUUUGCUAAUAACUAUUCCAACCAAUUUACAAGGUACAGCAUCCUCAAGUUUUUGAACCACAGCUCUCAUACUUGGUCUCAUAGCAGGAAUAGUUGCUGUACAAAGAACUGCAGUUCUCAAUACCUUACAAGCUUCCUCUUUAUACAUCUCCGGAAUUCUCGAAUCCACCACACUCAUAAACUUCUCCUUGCUCCUUGUCUUCCCAUGAACCCAACUUACUAUGUCUUUGUUUUCUCCGAAUUCAGGUUCACUUGGCCUUUUACCAGUUACAAGCUCCAU
rnacentral:lncRNA from 1 species